GUCCAGCCCAUGCCGAGACAAGCCCAAGGAUUCUUCUCGAAGUACUCGAUCUCCAUAUCCUCGUAACGUGGCGUCUCGAUGACCUGCUGGUAGUGCAUUGAGGAGCCUGGCCAGACGGCGUUCACACGCCCUGUCUCGUUGUUCUUGUACCAGGAGCGGCAGUCUUCCUUCCAGACGGUAUGCUUGAUCCACUCCUGAACGUGAUCAUUG
rnacentral:misc_RNA from 1 species